rnacentral:rRNA from 1 species
AGUGAACGCUGGCGGUAGGCCUAACACAUGCAAGUCGAACGGCAGCACAGUAAGAGCUUGCUCUUACGGGUGGCGAGUGGCGGACGGGUGCGGAAUACAUCGGAAUCUACUUUUUCGUGGGGGAUAACGUAGGGAAACUUACGCUAAUACCGCAUACGACCUACGGGUGAAAGCAGGGGAUCUUCGGACCUUGCGCGAUUGAAUGAGCCGAUGUCGGAUUAGCUAGUUGGCGGGGCAAAGGCCCACCAAGGCGACGAUCCGUAGCUGGUCUGAGAGGAUGAACAGCCACACUGGAACUGAGACACGGUCCAGACUCCUACGGGAGGCAGCAGUGGGGAAUAUUGGACAAUGGGCGCAAGCCUGAUCCAGCCAUACCGCGUGGGUGAAGAAGGCCUUCGGGUUGUAAAGCCCUUUUGUUGGGAAAGAAAAGCAGCAGGUUAAUACCCCGCUGUUCUGACGGUACCCAAAGAAUAAGCACCGGCUAACUUCGUG